GUGCUCGCUUCGGUAGCACAUAUACUAAAAUUGGAAUGAUACAGAGAAGAUUAGCAUGGCCCCUGCGCAAAGUAUCCCCAGUUACGGCCACCCAUUAUUA
ensembl:snRNA U6 U6 spliceosomal RNA